UGCCCAGUGACUUACAGUUUAACGGCCGCGGUGUAACUCCCGUGCUAAGGUAGCAUAUAAUAUACCCUUUAAUUGAGGGAUAGAAUGAACGGAUAAACGCAAACAUAACUGUCUCUAUUGUAAUUAUUAAAACUAGCCCUCAGGUGAAGAGACCUGAAUAAAUCUAAAAGACAAAAAGACCCUGUAGAGCUUCAUUAAUUUAGGCCUAAAUAAAAAAUAAAAUAAUAUAUUUUUCUUAUAGCCCUUUUAAUUUGACUGGGGCGGUCAAAGAAUAUAAAAACUUCUUUAUAUAUAAAGGAAAAUAAUCCUAUAUACUAUGUCAAGAUCCUUUAUUGAUUAUAAAACCUAGCUACCUCAGGGAUAACAGACUAAUUUCUUCCAAGAGCACACAUUGAAGAAGAAGUUUGGCACCUCGAUGUUGGCUUAGAAUCCCCAAAAAGUAGCAGAAGCUUUUAUGGUGGGUUUGUUCAACCCAUAAAAUUCUACGUGAUCUGAGUUCAGACCCGA
rnacentral:rRNA from 1 species